GACGAACGCUGGCGGCGUGCCUAAUACAUGCAAGUCGAGCGCAGGAAACUGACGGAACUCUUCGGAGGGAAGGCAGUGGAAUGAGCGGCGGACGGGUGAGUAACACGUAAGGAACCUGCCUCAAGGAUGGGAUAACUCCGAGAAAUCGGAGCUAAUACCGGAUAGUUCAUCGGACCGCAUGGUCCGUUGAUGAAAGGCGCUUCGGCGUCACCUUGAGAUGGCCUUGCGGUGCAUUAGCUAGUUGGUGGGGUAACGGCCCACCAAGGCGACGAUGCAUAGCCGACCUGAGAGGGUGAUCGGGCACACUGGGACUGAGACACGGCCCAGACUCCUACGGGAGGCAGCAGUAGGGAAUCUACCACAAUGGACGAAAGUCUGAUGGAGCAACGCCGCGUGAGUGAUGAAGGUUGUCGGAUAGUAAAACUCUGUUGUAAGGGAAGAACACGUACGAGAGGGAAUGCUCGUACCUUGACGGUACCUUACGAGAAAGCCACGGCUAACUACGUGCCAGCCGCCGCCGUAAUAC
rnacentral:rRNA from 1 species